CCGGGCUGCCGCAGAGGGAUGGAGGCUGAGAGCAGGGUACCGGGGCCGCCGCCGCUCUCCGGCUCCCCCGCUGGCAGCGAGGGUGGAGCUACUGCUGCUGCGCCCCGGCCGAGCGCCCCCGGCGCAGCGCGGGCCCCGCCGCCCCCCGCCGCCCCGGAGGAGCUGGCCUUUGACGACGACGAGGAAGACCUGGAGGUGUUCAGCAAGGAUACAUCACUGACUGAGGCAAAUUCAUUCAGUCCUUUGAUACCAACAUCCCCCUCUUCUAUGAUAAACCAGUACAAGUUUGAAGAUGAGCCAGAAUUAAGGGAUCUCUUAAUUAGUGUUGAUGAUCCUGAAAGUCACAUUACUGCCAUUGAGACUUUUGUUACCUAUAGAGUUUUUACAGAGACAUCUCGUGGUGAGUUUGACUCCAGUGAAUAUGAAGUUCGAAGACGAUAUCAAGAUUUCCUUUGGUUGAAGAGCAGACUUGAGGAAGCACAUCCAACACUGAUUAUUCCUCCAUUGCCUGAAAAAUUUAUAAUGAAAGGAAUGGUGGAACGAUUUAGUGAUGAAUUCAUUGAGACUCGAAGGAAAGCAUUGCAUAAAUUUUUGAACCGAAUUGCUGAGCAUCCAACUUUGACUUUUAAUGAAGACUUCAAAAUAUUUCUUACUGCACAAGCCUGGGAACUUUCAUCUCACAAGAAGCAGGGCCCUGGCUUGUUUAGCAGAAUGGGACAAACUGUAAGAGCUGUAGCAUCCUCAGUAAGAGGAGGAGGAGUUAAAAAUCGUCCUCAUAUGUUUACAGAUAUAAAUGACUAUAUGGAAACAUUUAAUCAGAAAAUAAACUUGAUAGACAGAAUAUCCCAAAGAAUUUACAAGGAAGAAAGGGGGUAUUAUUGUGAAAUGAAGGAAUAUGGUCCAAUCCAUACUCUUUGGUGUGCAUCAGAAGAAGAUCUAGUAGAUUCAUUAAAAGGUGUUGCCAGCUGCAUUGACAAGUGCUGCAAAGCUACUGAGAAUCGGAUGGCAGGACUAUCAGAAAACUUGCUGCCUGUUCUACAUGAAUAUGUUCUCUACAGUGAAAUAUUAACGGGUGUCUUGAAAAGAAGAGACCAAAUUCAGGCAGAGCUUGAUUCCAAAGUUGAUGCUUUAUCCAAUAAAAAGGCAGAAAAGGAUCUGCUUACAGAAGAGAUUGGAAAUCUUGAAGAUAGAGUGGAAUGUGCCAAUAACGCUCUGAAAGCUGACUGGGAUAGAUGGAAACAAAACAUGCAACAUGAUAUGAAAACAGCAUUUCUUAAUGUGACCGAAAAUAAUAUCCACUAUUAUGAACAGUGCCUUGCUACCUGGGAGUCCUUCCUGACAUCUCAAACAGUGGAUCUUCAUUUGGGAGAAGAUUCUGAAGAUAAACCUUGAAUAUAUUUCUGAUUGAUCUUCCUCUUCAGUGCAGUUUCUGCCAACCAAAGAAGUGUUCUUUAUAUGAGAUCAGAUAUAUUAUGAAAUAAAACUGUAAGAAUCAGUGACAUCUGGAAAACCAGCCUAUUGAAAACUCAGUCGUAGAAAUUCUGGCCGAAGUUUAAACUCAGCCCUGGCAGCCUGCUAGAAUGCGUUUCCAAACAGAGCGUCACACUCCCUUGGCUGAGCCUUGUUGUCCGUUGGAGGGAACAAAGGUAUGGUGGCAGUGCUUUUACAUCACCAAAAGAUAUACAACACAUCACUGAACCUGAAAGAGAGAUGGCCACAAACUUUCAUGCUACGCUGUGCUUCCAACUCAAUCAGCUUAAGGAGCCAUUGCAGUAGAAAUUAUAAGUCUGCAAGCUUCAGUAAGUCUAUUUUUCAAAGUGUUAAGUGAAGGAGGAAAUUUGUAAAUCAGGAUCUAAACAGAAAAUCCACUUUGUCAUACUUUCUUUCUUAAUAAGAAAAAUUAUGCACCCAGAUUCUGUAGAUUGGGUCUCAGCAUCUCUGGAAGCAGCCUUGACAUACAUAAUUCUAUUAGAGAAACAAAGGAGAACAAAUCUUAAAUCAACAUAAAAAAAACUGAAUGCUUUAUCUGAUGUAAACAAAAAUCAUCUCUCUUUAUUUCUGGAAGUCCCUAUGAAAAUGACAAGGGCAGACAACUAUAGGAAUGCAAAGAAAAAGUAAAUUGGAACCAGCUUGUUUAGAAUGGUGCUCUAAAUUUGGGUACCUAAAAUUGGAAAUUACUUUUGAUUAAUUUGGGCCUACAUCUUCCAGUUCAGUUUCUCCAUUUGCAAAAUGGAACAAUACAAAUCUAAGGGGUGAACUGAGGGCUAAUUAGUUAAUCUUUGAAGAUGAAAAGUUUAUAUAAAAACUUGCUGUGUUUCGCCACCUAUCCCUCACAAGUUUUGUCCACAGGUCAUAGAAUCAUAGGACUGUAAGGGACCUCGAGAGGUCAUCAGACCAGUCCCCUGCACUCAUGGCAGGACUAAGUAUUAUCUAGAUCAUUCCUGCCAGGCGUUUGUCUAACCUGGUCUUAAAAAUCUCUGAUGAAUGUCAUACCUUUCGCAUGGGUGAUAGAAUUCUCAUUUGCAUAAAAGGAAAAACAUCAUCAGUGUAUUUGAAAUAGAUAUUCUAUUUGAGAGCGUAAGGAAAUCUGUUUUUUCCUUUAUUUUAUUUUGAGGGGGGCUAAAGGAAGAUUAAAAGGGGGUUAACUUGUAAAGCUAUAGCAAACUGGGGCUGAAAGGAAAUAGUUAAUUGGGAAUAGCUCUUAACAGACUAUGGGUUAGGUUCAGUGACAGCCCACUGGGAGAAAUCUCAACUUUAUAAGCCAAAUUAAUUGUGGCAGCUUGUCCUAUUAAAGUAAGCUGUUCAAUAUAUAUUGGUGACUCCCAGAACGUUAGUUUAUUGCCUUGAGCUGCAGAUGUUUUGUUACCAUCUCAUGGAGUGGAAGAAUAAAAAAAAACUUCAGACAAGAAAUAUAAUGGGGCAGUUACAGAAAGGUUCAUGUUUAUUAGAUUAACAUUGAAGCUUUGAGGUAUUUUUUGGUUCAUGUUCUCUUUACUAUUUCAUUGUAGAGUUUUCUUUGCUGCUGCUAUCUGCUACCCUAUCCUGAUGUUUUAAAUUCACAGUAUCCACCUUUGUCCCCUGUUUCUGCAGAGAAUGAGAUCUCUAUGUUGCUUGGUAGGUGUGUGUUCUUCAUGAUUGUCAUAGAGGAUCAAAAGGCUUUAACUGGCAUCUCAGUCAGGGAUUUUACAAGGCAACCACUUCACUACUUCCAGUGAACAGGGACCUUUUUCAAACACAUAUGUUGCAAAUAGAUAUGUUUAAUAUCAUAAUACAGUACCUUUUAAUAGACUACAGUGUGACUCACUAAUGUUAAAUUGUACAAUAUCCCAAGGGUUUUUUUGUAAAUUCCUAUACAUCUUUUCUACUGCCCUAGGCAUUCUGUAGCAGACUCAUCUGUUAGGAAGAUGCGUAGGCCUCAUUUCUGCAGUCAUAUUUUGUGCUGGUGAGAUUUGUCUUGUAAAGGUUAUUUUUCAUCUUCCUCUUUUACCUUUUUUCUCUACCCCUCCUUGCCUCAUUUUCUCUUCCUAGUCUUCUCCAACAAUAUUUGUUAGUAUAUUUGCUGUUUUUCUAGGCACCCAGAAAGCUCUGUUUUUUAUUCCCAAAGGUCUCUGGAAUUUGGGGCUUGAUCCUGCACCAUUGUAGUCUGAGUGUUUUGCCAUUGAAUUCAAUGAGAACAGGAUAAAAUCUGUAAUGGGCAUGUGGGCUGGUAUACUGAUUUCCUAGCCCCCCAAUAACCAGUCAGAUAACUGUCAGUCAGUUGUGGUCCCUUUUUUCCAGGGAUGCCUUUAUGGGAACUUAUAAAGAGUCCGAACAGAACAAAAACAUCAGUAGCAAAACACAGAAAGCAAACGCAGUCAGUACCAUAAUCAUACAGACCUGGGGGCAGGGUUCCAGUUUACACCCAGCUGUUUCCCCUCUCCCUGUCUCCAAAGUAGCCCUUUAUAUUUCCCCUGCUCCCUCUGGUAGGUGAGGGUAAUCGGCUGCUGCAUUAAGCCUUCAGGGCCUGGGCUAGGGAAUGUCCUUGUAUCCUGUCAAAGGGCCCUUUUUUGGUUCCCAAGGUGGUCAAAGGGUCGUAACAGGUACAUGGGAACACACGCAUGCUCCCUGUACAACUAACCUGUAGGAGAAGAUGCAGACAUGGUGAACAGGAAGAGGAGGAUUCCAGGCAUAGGUGAGGUUACCAGAGAUGAGCGUGAGAAGGGAAAUGGAAACAUCAAUUAGCUGAUAAGAGGUGAUGAUCAAGUGCUAUGAAUGAGAUAGUCUAGAGAUCCAUAGAAGAGUUUAACUCUUAACUGUAAGAGUUUUUUCCUAAUUUAGAUGAAUUACUUCACAAGUUUGUAUCUCAGAGGUUGCAUUUGGGUCAUAUAAUGACAGGGUUGCUAUGGGAAUUCCUCUUUCCAUUACUCAGCCAUAUUUUGCAAGUUGGCAAAGAUGAUCAAAAUGAUUGCUGUAUAUACAUUCAUUCGCCCUUAGUAGCAUUUAUUUACUAUGCUGACCUUUUUGGAAAACAAGGGCACAGAAAUCAGAAGAAGUGUUUUCCUUAUUUUAUGUCAAGCCCUUGAAAUAUGUAUUUGCAUUUUGAUUUAGUUAUACUGUUUAUUUAGAAUGUGUACAUUGCGAGAUUGUGCAUAUUUUCUUUGGAAAUCUCUCUACAGCAAAAUAGACCAAAAUAAUAUAAAUAAUUAGCACUGCACAGUUGUAUUGUUUCAUGAAAAAUUAGUGUUGGAUAGCAAGUAACUCCAAUAGGAGAAGAAAAACAAAGAUUCCCUCUAGCUAAGCUAUGAAGAGCUGUGCUAGCUUUUUUGGUGGGAACUUUUAGCCAGUGUGUUUCAUUUGCAUUAUCUCUACGUACAAACUCUACCUAUAUUUCAGGGAGCAGUGAGUAUUUAAUAUUUAAAUUAAGUUCUGGCUACCUCAGAAAUUGACUCUCUCCCAAUGUGCUACUUUAGUAGUUGAGAACACACAAAACAUUUGUCCUAACCAUCCCAAGGUUUAAUAGGGAGAGGAGAGGUUUUCAGAGAUGGGCCCUCAACUGUGGAUCUUAUUUUACCCUGUAGGUUUUCCAGAGCCUGAAUAUAGGUCAUAUUACAAAGCUCAUCUUUUCUCUCAAGCUAUUUUUGAAAAUGUGAGCUGAAUUGGCUGUAUGUUGUUAUAAGAGAGUUCUAAGAGAGGCUUGUUUGGGAGGAUAUUGUAUUUGGAUGUGGUAUCAUUGUGUAUAUUGUGUCAUUUACUUGGUACCCAGAGGUUCAGAUGGGUGCAGUUUUAAAUAAAUAAUAUAGUUUUGAGUAUACAGGUAGGUGUGGGAAAGUAAAAGAAUGUGCACUCUCCUCUUGUGUUGUGUAUGAAUAAAUAUGAUGUAGUAUAGAAUAAAGUCUUUCUAGACGCUUCUCUGAAACGGCUGCCUUAGCCAUGAGUGGCAAAAUCAUGAAUGAGUUUUGUAGGUCACCACAAGUGAGUAUCAAUAAAGAUUUU